rnacentral:rRNA from 1 species
UUCCGUAGGUGAACCUGCGGAGGGAUCAUUACUGAGUGAGGGCCUUCGGGCUCGACCUCCAACCCUUUGUGAACACAACUUGUUGCUUCGGGGGCGACCCUGCCGUUUCGACGGCGAGCGCCCCCGGAGGCCUUCAAACACUGCAUCUUUGCGUCGGAGUUUAAGUAAAUUAAACAAAACUUUCAACAACGGAUCUCUUGGUUCUGGCAUCGAUGAAGAACGCAGCGAAAUGCGAUAAGUAAUGUGAAUUGCAGAAUUCAGUGAAUCAUCGAAUCUUUGAACGCACAUUGCGCCCCUUGGUAUUCCGAGGGGCAUGCCUGUUCGAGCGUCAUUUCACCACUCAAGCCUCGCUUGGUAUUGGGCGCCGCGGUGUUCCGCGCGCCUCAAAGUCUCCGGCUGAGCUGUCCGUCUCUAAGCGUUGUGAUUUCAUUAAUCGCUUCGGAGCGCGGGCGGUCGCGGCCGUUAAAUCUUUCACAAGGUUGACCUCGGAUCAGGUAGGGAUA